rnacentral:rRNA from 1 species
GACGAACGCUGGCGGCGUGCUUAACACAUGCAAGUCGAACGGAAAGGCCCUGCUUUUGUGGGGUGCUCGAGUGGCGAACGGGUGAGUAACACGUGAGUAACCUGCCCUUGACUUUGGGAUAACUUCAGGAAACUGGGGCUAAUACCGGAUAGGAGCUCCUGCUGCAUGGUGGGGGUUGGAAAGUUUCGGCGGUUGGGGAUGGACUCGUGGCUUAUCAGCUUGUUGGUGGGGUAGUGGCUUACCAAGGCUUUGACGGGUAGCCGGCCUGAGAGGGUGACCGGCAACAUGGGGACUGGUAUAGGGCGCAGGCCGAGAGGGGGCGAGACAGGGGGAAAGCUGCCACAGGGGCCGCGAGCCGGAGCAGCAACCCCCCGGGGCGGAAUGACGCCUUCCGGGUAAAAACCCUAUGUCCCCGGGCAGGAGGAGGGAGUGGCGGGAAUGAAUAAAAAAGCCCCGGCAAACUACGUG